rnacentral:rRNA from 1 species
AGCGAACGCUGGCGGCAGGCCUAACACAUGCAAGUCGAACGGAUCCUUCGGGAUUAGUGGCGGACGGGUGAGGAACACGUGGGAACGUGCCUUUUGGUUCGGAACAACUCAGGGAAACUUGAGCUAAUACCGGAUAAGCCCUUCGGGGGAAGAUUUAUCGCCAUUAGAGCGGCCCGCGUCUGAUUAGCUAGUUGGUGAGGUAAAGGCUCACCAAGGCGACGAUCAGUAGCUGGUCUGAGAGGAUGAUCAGCCACACUGGGACUGAGACACGGCCCAGACUCCUACGGGAGGCAGCAGUGGGGAAUCUUGCGCAAUGGGCGAAAGCCUGACGCAGCCAUGCCGCGUGAAUGAUGAAGGUCUUAGGAUUGUAAAAUUCUUUCACCGGGGACGAUAAUGACGGUACCCGGAGAAGAAGCCCGGCUAACUUCGUGCCAGCAGCCGCGGUAAUCACGGAGAGUA